rnacentral:rRNA from 1 species
GAUGAACGCUGGCGGCGUGCCUAACACAUGCAAGUCGAGCGAUUCUCUUCGGAGAAGAGCGGCGGACGGGUGAGUAACGCGUGGGUAACCUGCCCUGUACACACGGAUAACAUACCGAAAGGUAUGCUAAUACGAGAUAAUAUACUUUUAUCGCAUGGUAGUAGUAUCAAAGCUUUUGCGGUACAGGAUGGACCCGCGUCUGAUUAGCUAGUUGGUAAGGUAACGGCUUACCAAGGCGACGAUCAGUAGCCGACCUGAGAGGGUGAUCGGCCACAUUGGAACUGAGACACGGUCCAAACUCCUACGGGAGGCAGCAGUGGGGAAUAUUGCACAAUGGGCGAAAGCCUGAUGCAGCAACGCCGCGUGAGCGAUGAAGGCCUUCGGGUCGUAAAGCUCUGUCCUCAAGGAAGAUAAUGACGGUACUUGAGGAGGAAGCCCCGGCUAACUACGUGCCAGCAGCCGCAGUAAAAC